CAGUAGCCACGGUAAUACAGAGGAUGCAAGCGUUAUCCGGAAUGAUUGGGCGUAAAGUGUCUGUAGGUGGCUUUUCAAGUCCGCCGUCAAAUCCCAGGGCUCAACCCUGGACAGGUGGUGGAAACUACCAAGCUGGAGUAUGGUAGGGGCAGAGGGAAUUUCCGGUGGAGCGGUGAAAUGCGUUGAGAUCGGAAAGAACACCAACGGUGAAAGCACUCUGCUGGGCCGACACUGACACUGAGAGACGAGAGUUAGGGGAGAAAAUGGGAUUAGAUACCCGGGUAGUCCCUGUCUCUUAUAA
rnacentral:rRNA from 1 species